rnacentral:tRNA from 1 species
GCUUGGCUAGCUCAGUCGGUAGAGCAUGAGACUCUUAAUCUCAGGGUUGUGGGUUCAAGCCCAAUGUUGGGAG